GUCCCUGUAGCACAAUGGAUAGCGUGUUGGACUGCUAAUCCAAAGGUUGUGGGUUCCACCUGGGAUG